rnacentral:rRNA from 1 species
CGUGUAGGCGGUUUGGUAAGUCUGAUGUGAAAGCCCCGGGCUCAACCCGGGAAGUGCAUUGGAAACUGUCAGACUUGAAUACGGGAGAGGGUAGUGGAAUUCCUGGUGUAGGAGUGAAAUCCGUAGAUAUCAGGAGGAACACCGGUGGCGAAGGCGGCUGCCUGGACCGAUAUUGACGCUGAGACGCGAAAGCGUGGGUAGCAAACAGGAUUAGAUACCCUGGUAGUCCACGCCGUAAACGAUGAGUACUAGGUGUUGCGGGUAUUGACCCCUGCAGUGCCGCAGCUAACGCAUUAAGUACUCCGCCUGGGAAGUACGGUCGCAAGACUAAA